rnacentral:lncRNA from 1 species
UUUUUUUUUUUUUUUUUUUUUUUAAGAAACUUAGAAUGUUUGGUAUAUUUGGUCAUCCCACUUAAGCUGUUGGCUCCUUCAUUCAUUCAUUCAUUCAUUCAUUCAUUCAGUGAUUCAAUGUUUAUGACACUGCUUUGUGCCAGACAUAGAGCUUUGCACUGAGGUCAAAGGUGACAAGGCAGCCUGUUGUUUCAACUGGUGACCUGCUUAGCCUAGUUUCCCUUUGAGUUUGGCUUAUCAUGUUACUGAUGCAGAAAAACAUUUUAUGUAUUUUUCAGUAGACCAAUAGUGAUAAUAUUGUUUUAAUGAAGAAAGCUUUUAGGUUUCUGGAGAGAGGGAAGAAAAAUAAUGUGUAAAAAAUAGGCAUCCAUCUGAUGUGAUACCUUUGAAAUAAGAAUAUUUGGAAGGUCUUUACUGAGUUUCUCAUGGAAUUCUGGUGGAUGACUUUAGUGUAGAUGCAUGCUAUAUAGCUGUGGAAAGAUGAUCUCCCACUCAGAAUUGGCUUUAUUUUUGCUACUUUUUAGCACUCUGACUUUGGGUAGUCUUCAGCCUCUUGGACCCUUUGUUUUCUCUUCAGAAAAAUGAAGAGUCUAAGGUGCUAUUUCUAGCACCAGAAAAAUUGUACACUCUUAAAAAAUAGCUAAAGGAAAAAUAUGAAUAAGGUCUGUGGGUUGUACCAAUGUCAAUUUCCUGGUUUUGUAUUAUAGUUAUGUAAAAUGUUGCCAUUUGAGAACACUGGAUAAAGGGUACAUGAGGCUUUCUCUGUACUACUUUUGCAACUUGCUGUGAAUCUAUAAUUAGCACUUUGGGAGGUAAAGGAGGGAGAAUCACUUGAGCCCAGGAGUUUGAGACCAGCCUGGGCAACAUGGCAAGACCCUGUCUCUAUAUAAUAAAGUAAUUUGAAAAAGAAAAAAACACAGACCCUGUCUUUAUAUAAUAAAAUAAUUUUUUUUUUUUUUUUAAAAAGUUAAGGUCUGGUGCGGUGGCUCACGCUUAUAAUCCCAGCACUUUGGGAGGCUGAGGUAGAGGAUGGCUGGAGCCCAGGAGUUCAAGACCAGUCUGGGCAAGAUGGUGAGACCUGGUCUCUACAAACAUUUAAAAAAAAAAAAAAUUAGCCAGGCAUAGCAACCCACACCUAUGUUCCCAGUUACAUGGGACGCUGAGGCAGGAAGAUCACUUGGGCCCAGAAGGUUGAGGCUGCAGUGAGCUGUGUUCCUGCUCUUUAAGACCCUGUCUCAAAAAAAAAAAAAAAAAAAA